GAGCACAAGUAAAGUUUAUAUUUAACAAUUAUUGUUUUCCGUCAGAUCGUUUAAAGAUCUCUACAUUUCCAACCGCACUUAAAAGCAGCUUCAUUUCACGGAGAAAGAGAGAUAAGAAAAGAGGAGGAAACAGUCAGC